rnacentral:rRNA from 2 species
GAGUUUGCUCCUGGCUCAGAACGUACGCUGGCGGCACGCCUAACACAUGCAAGUCGAACGAAGUAGCAAUACUUAGUGGCAGACGGGUGAGUAACAUGUAGGUAUCUGCCCUUUGGCCUGGAAUAACACGAGGAAACUUGUGCUAAUACCGGAUAAGUCUUUACGGAGAAAGCUUUAUGCACCAUUGGAUGAGCCUGCACUUGAUUAGUUUGUUGGUGGGGUAAUGGCCUACCAAGACUUUGAUCAAUAGCUGAUUUGAGAGGAUGAUCAGCCACAUUGGGACUGAGACACGGCCCAAACUCCUACGGGAGGCAGCAGUGGGGAAUCUUGCACAAUGGAGGAAACUCUGAUGCAGCGAUGCCGCGUGAGUGAAGAAGGCCCUUGGGUUGUAAAGCUCUUUCCCCCCCCCCCACAAAAUGACUGUACCCGAAUAAGAAGGUCCGGCGAACUUCGUGCCAGCAGCCGCGGUAAUACGAAGGGACCUAGCGUAGUUCGGAAUUACUGGGCUUAAAGAGUUCGUAGGUGGUUGAAAAAGUUGGUGGUGAAAUCCCAGAGCUUAACUCUGGAACUGCCAUCAAAACUUUUCAGCUAGAGUAUGAUAGAGGAAAGCAGAAUUUCUAGUGUAGAGGUGAAAUUCGUAGAUAUUAGAAAGAAUACCAAUUGCGAAGGCAGCUUUCUGGAUCAUUACUGACACUGAGGAACGAAAGCAUGGGUAGCGAAGAGGAUUAGAUACCCUCGUAGUCCAUGCCGUAAACGAUGUGUGUUAGACGUUGGAAAUUUAUUUUCAGUGUCGCAGCGAAAGCGAUAAACACACCGCCUGGGGAGUACGACCGCAAGGUUAAAACUCAAAUGAAUUGACGGGGACCCGCACAAGUAGUGGAGCAUGUGGUUUAAUUCGAAGAUACGCGCAGAACCUUACCAACACUUGACAUGUUCGUCGCGACUUUAAGAGAUUAAAGUUUUCGGUUCGGCCGGACGAAACACAGGUGCUGCAUGGCUGUCGUCAGCUCGUGUCGUGAGAUGUUGGGUUAAGUCCCGCAACGAGCGCAACCCUCACUUUUAGUUGCCAUCAUUAAGUUGGGCACUCUGAAAGAACUGCCAGUGAUAAGCUGGAGGAAGGUGGGGAUGACGUCAAGUCCUCAUGGCCCUUACGUGUUGGGCUACACACGUGCUACAAUGGUAUCUACAACAGGAAGCAAGACUGCGAAGUUAAGCAAAUCCUUAAAAGAUACCUCAGUUCGGAUUGCACUCUGCAACUCGAGUGCAUGAAGCUGGAAUUACUAGUAAUCGUGGAUCAGCGUGCCACGGUGAAUGCGUUCCCGGGUCUUGUACACACCGCCCGUCACACCAUGGGAGUUGGUUCUACCUUAAGGCAAGGUUUCAAACCCUUGACCACGGUAUAGUCAGCGACUGGGGUGAAGUCGUAACAAGGUA